AAGCCAUGAAGUCACCACCAGUCCUACAGAAAUACAUUUUAAAUGGUCUUUCUAUGUUUUAAUUGGAGUGCUUGUAGUCUUAAUCAUAUCUGGAGUCCUCCUUGGAUUUAUAUACGUAACAAAAUGCAGCAGCAGAAGACGACAGCUGCCAAUAACCAGUCCUGAAAUAAUAACUGAUCCUGGAAACACAGAAGCGUACAUGGCAGCGGGAGAAAUUGAGCCAUACAGUAUCUUCAUCCAAACAGAAAAUGGGCUUUAUUCAACUUCUAAAAUAAACUUAAAUCAUAUUACUUGAAAUACAUUUGAUGUAAAUUGAGGUAUGAAUUUGCAGCACUUUUAUAAUAAGUAUCUAUUUCCUAGUGAAUAAACAGUGAAGCUGGACUUGCAAUCUCCAAAGCAAUGAUGCUUUACUAUUAGUUUCACUUAUUGUUGCAUUAGUAGAAGUACAGUUUAUUUUAAUCUUUUAAGAGUAACGUUUUAUAUCUGAAACUUAAAUAUCAAGUCACACUGUCUAGAGUGACAAAAUGGACUUUUAUACAUAUUCAGUUUGUUGAUUUCAGAGCUGUAAUAGCUUUAUAGCAAUAAUUAGAUCUUGACUGAUGCUGGAUGUUUAAGACUGAUACUGAUACCAAUAUGUAGUAAUUUCAAACUCAGAUAUUUAUUCUGGUGUUGUUGUCUUUGAGACACACAAAGACAAACAAAUUUCCCAAACAUUUUUUAAGGGUGAUCUAUAUGUGAGUCCUCACUAAGAUAAUAUCAUAAUACAGUCUAAAACAAAAUCCUGUUUUUUUAUAUUAACAGGUCAUGGAUUAUCCGUUUGUUCUCUGCACUUUGUAGCCAACAGGGGAUCUGCAGAGUGCAGAGUUAUGGACAAACUAUGUAACAGUCAUGGUUGAAUGUUGAAUGAAUCUCCCGUCUCUACUUUUCAAUUUUUUUAUUUAUUAGUUAAUAUAAAUACAAUAUAUUGACUGAUAGAUAAGCUCAGCUGACAUAUCAGUUAAUAAAAAUAAUGAUAAUCCAAAACCAAGUUAUUAUGUCAAACAGCGUCAUGCAAAAAUCUUUUUUGAGCCAUGGUGCGAGUUCACUACGCUGAGAUUUGUAACCCACUUUAAACCGCUAUGUGAAACAAUAAUUAGCAUUUCCGCUUAUCGUUAUCUAAGUAUGGGUCGUUGAGUGUUUCAGGGCUUUUUCAGUUAAUGAGCCAUAACCCUGACCUCACACCAUCGUCGAGCUUCCUGUAUCAACUUCCUCUUCUCACAGACAGAUUUUGCUCUUUUGCACUUUACCAAUGUUCCCCACGCAGUUGGUUUUAAACAGGGACUCCCCAGCAACAACCACCAAACCUCUGUACACAAGUGCAUUUUCCAGGCUCUCUUCCUGGAAUUUAAUAUAUAUGAAACUACUGAAAAGGCCAACAGGAAAAUAUUGUGUCUGAAAGAAAAGGCCUUUAUUGUUUCGUGAAUUGUGCACGCAUCUGUACAUAACAGGUUUUUUGUUGUUUUUUUGUCCUGUAAUUUAAAAGAAAUCAUCUGAAAAAGACCCUAAUAA